UUUUGGCUAAGACCAAGUGUAGUAUCU
rnacentral:snRNA from 1 species